GGAGAGAUGGCUCAGUGGUUAAGAGCACUGGCUGCUCUUCUAGAGGACCCAGGUUCGAGUCCCAGUAUCUACA
rnacentral:tRNA from 1 species